rnacentral:rRNA from 1 species
UACAGAGGGGGCAAGCGUUGUUCGGAAUUACUGGGCGUAAAGGGCGCGUAGGCGGCCCGCUAAGUCGAACGUGAAAUCCCCAGGCUCAACCUGGGAACUGCGUCCGAUACUGGAUGGCUUGAAUUCGGGAGAGGGAUGCAGAAUUCCAGGUGUAGCGGUGAAAUGCGUAGAUAUCAGGAGGAACACCGGUGGCGAAGGCGGCUCUCUGGUCCACAACUGACGCUGAGGUGCGAAAGCU